UCAUGAUCCUGCAUCCACUAGAAGAGGAGUUCCAGGACUCAGUUCUUUUGCUGAAGUCCAUUUUGUGGGAUCCAUUAGCUUUGGGGCCUUGCUUCUGGGUACCCACUUUCACCUCUGGAGGACAGGCAGCCCUGUGACUGGACUAUUAUCUUCUCUGCUGUCAUGAUGUUGAUAAACAGCAGGCAACAAGAGACCAUAAUGGCUAUCAUGACAGAUAAGCCUAUUCACCUUCACAAACCUCUAUGCCCCUCCCUGCCACCCCCCAGCCUCUCCAAGUCCACUUGAAGAAUAAUGACAGAUUCCCACCAAGGACUCCUGUGAAUAACCCACUGUCCUUAGUACUUUUCUUGCAACAUGACACCUAUGAAUGCCAAUGCUUACCCAUUGCUUGAA